GACAAACGCUGGCGGCGUGCCUAACACAUGCAAGUCGAGCGUGAAAGGGGCUUCGGCCCUGAGUAAAGCGGCGAACGGGUGAGUAACACGUGGGUAACCUGCCCCAGGGACUGGGAUAACCCCGGGAAACCGGGGCUAAUACCGGACGAUGUUGUCCCACACAAGUGGGCCAACCAAAGGUAGCUUCGGCCUCCGCCCUGGGAUGGGCCCGCGGCCUAUCAGCUAGUUGGUAGGGUAACGGCCUACCAAGGCUACGACGGGUAGCUGGUCUGAGAGGAUGAUCAGCCACACUGGGACUGAGAUACGGCCCAGACUCCUACGGGAGGCAGCAGUGGGGAAUCUUGCGCAAUGGGCGAAAGCCUGACGCAGCAACGCCGCGUGGAGGAAGAAGGCCUUCGGGUUGUAAACUCCUGUCAGGGGGAAAGAAGGUACCUGGGUGAAUAGCCCAAGGGCUGACGGUACCCCCAAAGGAAGCCACGGCUAACUACGUGCCAGCAGCCGCGGUAAUACGUAGGUGGCAAGCGUUGUCCGGAAUCAUUGGGCGUAAAGCGCGCGUAGGCGGCUUGCCAGGUCCGAUGUGAAAACCCGGGGCUCAACUCCGGGCCUGCAUCGGAAACCGGCUUGCUAGAGUCUGGGAGAGGAGAGUGGAAUUCCUGGUGUAGCGGUGAAAUGCGUAGAUAUCAGGAGGAACACCGGUAGCGAAGGCGGCUCUCUGGAACAGUACUGACGCUGAGGCGCGAAAGCUAGGGGAGCGAACA
rnacentral:rRNA from 1 species